UACGAAGGGGGGCUAGCGUUGCUCGGAAUCACUGGGCGUAAAGCGCACGUAGGCGGGUCCUUAAGUCAGGGGUGAAAUCCCGGAGCUCAACUCCGGAACUGCCUUCGAUACUGAAGAUCUCGAGACCGGAAGAGGUAAGUGGAACUGCGAGUGUAGAGGUGAAAUUCGUAGAUAUUCGCAAGAACACCAGUGGCGAAGGCGGCUUACUGGUCCGGUUCUGACGCUGAGGCGCGAAAGCGUGGGGAGCAAACAGG
rnacentral:rRNA from 1 species